GAAGUAGAUAGCUUAACCGAGAGGGGGGCGUUUACCACGGUAUGAUUCAUGACUGGGGUGAAGUCGUAACAAGGUAACCGUAGGGGAACCUGCGGUUGGAUCACCUCCUUA
rnacentral:ncRNA from 1 species